UACGAAGGGGGCUAGCGUUGUUCGGAAUUACUGGGCGUAAAGCGCGCGUAGGCGGUGCAUCAUGUCAGAGGUGAAAUCCCGGAGCUCAACUCCGGAACUGCCUUUGAAACGGGUGCGCUAGAAUCCGAGAGAGGAUGGCGGAAUUCCUAGUGUAGAGGUGAAAUUCGUAGAUAUUAGGAAGAACACCGGUGGCGAAGGCGGCCAUCUGGCUCGGUAUUGACGCUCAGGCGCGAAAGCGUGGGGAUCAAACAGG
rnacentral:rRNA from 1 species